AGGUCCUACGGGGGGCAGCAGUGGGGAAUAUUGCGCAAUGGGGGAAACCCUGACGCAGCAACGCCGCGUGCGGGAUGAAGGCUUUCGGGUUGUAAACCGCUUUCAGCAGGGAUGACUUCGACAGUACCUGCAGAAGAAGCCCCGGCUAACUACGUGCCAGCAGCCGCGGUAAUACGUAGGGGGCGAGCGUUAUCCGGAUUCAUUGGGCGUACAGCGCGCGCAGGCGGACUCAUACGCGGAGCCCUUAAUCUUGGGGCUUACCCUCAAGUCGGGCCCCGACCUGGGAGUCUCGUGCGGGGAAGGGG
rnacentral:rRNA from 1 species